rnacentral:sRNA from 1 species
UCACUCCUGGCUACAGGCGUGAGUUUCUGAAAUAACCGUUGACCCCCUUAAAGAGCAAACUCCUCGUUCUACACACCCUCCCCUCUCGCUGCUGCGCUCGACUAGAAUAAA